rnacentral:rRNA from 1 species
GACAGAGGAUGCAAGCGUUAUCCGGAAUGAUUGGGCGUAAAGCGUCUGUAGGUGGCUUUUCAAGUCCGCCGUCAAAUCCCAGGGCUCAACCCUGGACAGGCGGUGGAAACUACCAAGCUGGAGUACGGUAGGGGCAGAGGGAAUUUCCGGUGGAGCGGUGAAAUGCGUAGAGAUCGGAAAGAACACCAAUGGCGAAGCACUCUGCUGGCCGACACUGACACUGAGAGACGAAAGCUAGGGGAGCAAAUGGG